rnacentral:lncRNA from 1 species
CCCGUAGAAAUAGAAAAUGACCAAAUCAGUCCCUUUGGCGAUGAGUUCGCCUGAAAGUGCUAACCCGCAAUGCCUCUCGAUCUAAUCUCUCUCUCCCUUCGCUACUCUCCACCUCUCUCUCUGUUCGAUUUGUGUGUAUGUGCGAGGUUUCUGAGUGUAGUAUAUGGGUGUACGGUGGUGAAUCAAAGAGAAUCAACUGAUUGAGUAUCUUCUUUUUCAUUUUAUCCCUGAUGUGUGUGUAUUGAUGUAUGAAGAAAAGGGUAUGUCUGUUCAAUCAUGUUGCUGGGUGAAAAAUUUUGUGUAUGGGUGGGUAUUCUGGGAAGGUGUUGUAUGCAUAUGGUUUCCCCUUAUUUCAUUCCAUGAAGUUCUAUGGAGGUCCCCCCGUUUUUGUGAGAAGAAGGUGUUUAUACAUUGUAUAUGAUAAAAUGGUCAGGGACAAGAAAUCUUCUGUGGGGGCCCUCUUCUUGUUUUUUUGUUUUCUUCUUUUUGUUAUAGAAAAGAUGAGAAAAACAUGUGAAUGAGGUUAGGGGGGUGACGUGAGUUAGGUGGUAGGGUAUAGGAUAAAGUUCGUUAUGAUAAGGUUAGAGGUUUAUUGAAUUUUUGUUAUUUUGUAUUUUUAUGGGUAUAAUUACAUGGUUGAAGGUACACGGUAAGAUAAAGUAAAAAAUGAGAAAAGUAAUUUUUCGAAGGGAUAAAAUUAGGUGUCUACAGUAAAAAAAAAAAUCAAGCUACAUAGAUCUAUGUGGAACUUGAUUUUCUUCCAACAAUGGUUUUUCAAAAAUUUACUCAAUUUAGAAAGAUUGGAGUAAUGGAAAUAUCACAAAUUCAAAGAGUGAUCAUAAGAAAUUGACAAAAAGAACCAAACAAAGUAAAGAAGUAAAUUUUAAAAUUAUUUUACAAGUUUCUAUUUGAUCGAAAGGUUUUGUUAUGUUCAAUUUUUGAAUAAUUAUCAGACGAGUUGAUUAGGAUUAUUUAUUAAGGUUGUGAAAGACAAUAAAAAGAAAUAUAAGGAAAUUUCUUUUAAGAUAUUCAUAAAUUUUUUAGUUUCUUUUGCUUGAUCGAUUGGAUAUUGAAUAAAAAAAGGUAUGUCAUUGAAGGGGAGAAUAUUACCUUAGGUUGAAGAUGAGAAAGCAAAGUUUGAAGAUUCACAAACAUGUUUCGUAUCCUCUUCCUUCUUUCUGUUUCCGUCCAUAUGUGUAGCUCAUGACUUGAUUCUCUACCUCCAUCUUCAUCUUCACCAGACUUUGGUUCACCACGUUCAUUAUCGCCUUUAUUUUUGUUGGAUAAACAUCUUUUUUUGCCACCAAGACUCGCUUUGUCUACCUCUUUAACAGUUGUCAGUGGCUGACAAGUAUCAAACCUAUUCGAAUCUGGAAACUUGUCACCCACAAAUUUUACUCCGCCCCCAACUAGUUGGCCAUUGUCGGAGUUCAAAAAUGACCACACUUCAUUAUUUCUCAUAUCAAACAAUCAUUCUCGCUGUCAUCAUUCAUCCCUUUUUCUUUCUUCAGAUGAUAUGAUAGUCUAUCCUAAGUUACGUCUUUAUAUAGAGGUUUUCUUCCGAGGGGGAUAGUGUAAAAAGGAAAAAUAAGGGGAUUGAAUAGGAUAUAAAUAUUAAAUAUGAAGAAAAUAUAGAGAAGAGUAGAAAAAAGAGAUAUAAAAAAGAAAGUUUCACUUAGUAAUGAAGUAAUAAAAAAAAAUACAAUCAUAAGCCAAGAUAUCGUUACUGGCUUCAAAACAAAAAAGGGUAGCUAAAACACUUCUGUUACAAAUUUUGUUCUCACUCAAUUGGGUCCUAGUUCACACUUAGCUCUAUUAAAAUUAAUUAAUUAAUUUGUUAUUCUACUUACCAAUAUUAGAGUACAAAAAUUUAAUCAAUAUAUUUGGUCAAAUAAUCAAGAUUUUCUUCUCAUCUAUACUAACGGUCUAAGUUUUUUGUUUUUCUUAAAAAAAAAAAAACCUUUAAAAUUGAUCUAUAAUAUCUAUAAAAAAAUAAAAAAGGUAAGAGGUUAUCUGACUGAUGUUAAUGAGAUUUCAUUAAUAGCUGACUUCAUCUACGAAAAUAAGUAAAAAUAACUUUCUUUUUUAUAAAAUUAUUUUCUAUCGAAAACAUCCUAGAUUUAUUAUACCAUUUUUUACUCAUUCAUUCAAGUUAAUUAUACUAGAAUUAAUAAUUAAACAAAUGUUUUUUCGUGAAUAAAAGUUUUUAUCAUGCAAUAUUCAUUUCAUAUAAAAAGAAAAAGAUUAUCAUUUUAUUUCAUCUUUUGGUUAGGAUGUUAUAAAGCCUUUAAUCAUGACUUUCUCUUUGUUAGCAGGAAAAAAUGGAAUUAGUUAUGAUAUUCAUUACUAGUAUUCCACUAAAGAGUUUUGUAGUUUACAAUUUUUUUAUAAUUCAUUUUUAAAUAGUGUAAACACAUAAUUUUGUCCCUUCCCGAAAACAUUCUUACCAUUUUACCCUCGUCUUAGUGUGUGCCCUCACCCGUGUGAUAACCCCUUCACAAAAAGAUAAAAAUAACAAUUCCUAACUAAUUUUAUCUUAUUCUAACCACCCCUCCCUAUUAAAAAUGAUACAUCACCCUCACCACUCCCUCUCCACGUGACCUUCCCUUUUUAUUUCUUGUCCACAAAGCAAAUAAAAGGACCCAGAAGCAUAUUCCCUGGAGGAGAUACUGGCUGUCACUCUGAAGACAAAAGAACCCACUCAAUUCUCACAAGAAGGGAGAUACAAUAUUAUACAGAUAGGGGUCUUCAACUUUUUUCUUUUUGGACCGAACAAGAUACAGAUACACAAACCAAAAACUUCAUCAUCGGGAAUUUUUCUUUUCCAUUUUUGGAUACCCAUCACCAUUCCAUUGGCUAAAAUAGCAACACACAGAGAUCAAAGAGAGAUUGAGAGAGAAGAGAAAAAAAGCAAGAGAAAGAGAGAGAAAAGUAGAGCAGAGAACCGCGAGAGAGGGAUAGAGAGGAGAGAGAUCGAACGAGAGAUGAUUCAGGGCGGAGAAGAGCAGUUCCUCCACUAUUAAGCUCGCUGGAGCUCCGGAGACGCUACAACAGUGACCAGAGCAUGCUGGGAAGCCACUGAAUUCGACCUCCAGUGUAGAUUCCGGCGACCAUCCAUCGAAAAGCGACCAAAAAUAGUAACGGAGUGUGCUAAUUAGGUACGAUUGGUAGGGAUUUGUGAUCUUUGCUUUGGGUUGCGGGUUUGCUUUCAUGAAUUCGUGUUCAGUCAAAUUUUGGGAUUCUUGCGGUUGAUUUAGUACGAAGUUGGUGAGUUCUUUGUUGAGGUUCGAUUCGAGGUUCUUCGGCAUGGUUUCUGUCCUUUCAUUGAAGCAUUGUUGAAUUUUGAAACCUUCGAAUCAAGGUCUAAUUCUCUUCCUUCUCUUCUUUAUUUCGUUAUUUGUCGUGUUCUAUACUUUGAAUUGAAUCCGGUGUGUUGGUUGAUCCGUGGUGAUGUGAAUUAUUGUUUGUUUUGAUUUGGUGUUUGAUUUCCUUGAUUAUGGAUUAAUUAUAAGGUGUGUGAUGAAAUAAUAUCUCAUGGAGGAUUAAAAUUGACUAUUUGGGGAAUGGAAAUCGAAAAUUGAUAAAAGUGAAUAUUAUAGUAUUUUGAUUCAUCGUUGAUGUUGAACGUGAUAUGUCAUCGAGCGGGUAGGCAAGCACUAGGCUCGGGUAGGCAAAAUUUAGAAUUGGUGGAUUGUUGGAAUGUUUGAAAUAUGUGUUGGAAUUGUUUUGUUUUAUCGCAUUUAAUUCAAUUGUACUCAUUUGGCUGGGGAAUGCCCCGAGGUACUUGUAUCUAUUCACCGGAAAAUGCCCCGACAUAUCAUGUAUGCAAAGGAGGUUCGUGACGAAGGCUCGAGGAAUCGGGUAAAUCACGGGAGCUUAGUUAGGAUUAGUGUAGGUUAGAUAGGGUUUAUUAUCACAUUUUUUUCUAUUUUGGACUGUAUAACUCGGACUGGACAUUAUAUUUUUUACUCAUUUUAUUUUAUUUGUUGUUUGAUUGUUUUACGUGUUUUAUGUGGUUUAUACAUUCGUAAUAUCAAAUUAGUCGAUAUGUUCCACCAAGAGACCAUGGUCAAACCACGGGACCGAGGGGUGCCUAACACCUUCCCCUUGGUCAACAGAAUUCCUUAGUCAGAAUCUCUGUUCACAGAUCAGUUUAAAAGAGUCAAAAUUAUUUUUGAAAAAGGAUUAUCAACGGUGACUUGGCACACUGCAUUAUGCCAAGUGGCGACUCUGAGUUUAAAUAUAAAUAAUCCUUUUUGAAACAAAAUUUUCAUUUUUUGUCACUUUAAUAAAAGCCCUUCUGAAACUUAAAACAAAUCUUUUAGAAUCACCCAGUCAAAAGAAACUGGGGCAUGAGUUAAUCCUCAUUGUUUAAGUCGAUUCCAAAAGUUGUAAGUCCUAAACCACUUCAAGUGUCGUUUGGGCCUCAUGCCAUACUUUCUUUCUAACCUUAUCCAAAAUCUAAGUUACAACCAAAGAAAGACCUUCAAAUCAAUCUUUAAGGAUGUUAAGGAAAAGCAUGUAAGGGAUAUAAUGAUGUAUUUGGAAACUACUUGUCUUCCUCAGCAUAAGAAAUCAGGAGAGAAAUAAAAAAUGAGAGAGUCUUAUUGGUAAAAACCCUCACGAGCACUAUAAGAUGAUGGUAAGUUGAGAGAUAUAAAAAUGAGAGAGUCUUAUUGGUGAAAACCCUCACGGUCACCAUAAGACGAUAGUGAGCUGAGAGAAAAAUGAGAGAGGCUUGUUGGAAAAAAUCCUUCAAGGUGUUACUAGCCGAAUGAGGUCUUAAAUGCAAUUGACCUAAGGAAACAACUCAGUUUCAAGGUCAUUAACUCAACAACAAUUGGUAGAAAGUUUGGAUGGAAAGAUCAGGCAGCCGACCCAAAAUACAUGACGUAAUUUUUAGAGUUGACUGUCAUUUUUAGAUAAAUUUUUAUUUCUUUGUUUCAAAUAGGGAUAUUCAUUAUCUUUUCUUUUUUCUCUUUAUUUUUGUUUAUCUUUCUUCAGUUAGUUAGCCAAAUAAAAUCAUUGUCAUUUUUCUCUUGUUGUUGAGUCAAGUCUAUGUCAAAACAAGUGAGAAAAGAUUUCAAAACUAGCUACUAGCUUCUUCAAUUGCCCAAAGCAAAACAAAAGGCCAGCACAUGAAAGAGACAUGAUUGUGAGCCAAAACAAGGCAUGCAGAAAGUUGUGUCAACAAAAAAUUUUGCGAAUUCAUGAAAAUACCAAGGUUCAAAGAGUUUAUCUGAGAAGCAUGGCAAAGCAAAGAUACUGUGUUUAUUUCAGAAGAACUCUUAAUAAUCGGAGUUUGGGUCAGUGAUGCAGCAAAUCAGUGACACAUUCUAAUGGUUGAAAGCAAGAUUAAAUGUGACAGGGGCAAGAGCGAUUUCCACAAAAUCCAAAGCCACAAACCAACCACCAUGUUUUUAAACUAACAAGUUUUCUUUGUAUGAAAUAGGAACACAUGCUACCUUCGAAUCAAGGAUUUCAAAGCCUAAACAUCAAGGGUCGUAAUAUUCUCACUUCUACAAAUGCAAGAGGCAAUGUUACUGCAUAUAUUUGGUAUUCAAACCCAUGGUAAUUCAAGCGGAAUUUGUAAGGAGACGCACUUUCUUGUUUUGGUAAUUCUAGCAAUAUUUGUAAAGAGACAUACUUCCUUGUUUGGGUAAUUCCAGCAAUAUUUGUAAGAAAACUCACUUCCUUAUUUGGUAAAUCCAGCAACAUUUGUGAGGAAACACACUUUCUUGUUUGGUAAUUCAAGCGGUAUUUGUAAGGAAUGUACUUCCUUGUGUGGGAAAUUCAAGCAACAUUUGUAAGGAGAUGCACUUCCUUGUUUGAUAAUUCAAGCAACAUUUGUAAGGAGACGCACUUUCUUAUUUGGUAAUUCAAUUGGCAUUUGUAAGGAAACGCACUUCCUUGUUCGGGUAAUUCCAGCAAUAUUUGUAAGGAGACGCACUUCCUUGUUUGGGCAAUUCGAGCAACAUUUGUAAAGAGAUGCACUUCCUUGCUUGGUUAAUUCAAGAAAUAUUUGUGAGGAUACACACUUCCUUGUUUGAGUAAUUCAAGCGGCAUUGGAGAUGCACUUCCUUGCUUGGGCAAUUCGAGCAACAUUUGUAAAGAGAUGCACUUCCUUGCUUGGUUAAUUCAAGAAACAUUUGUGAGGAUACACACUUCCUUGUUUGAGUAAUUCAAGUGGCAUUGGUAAGGAGACGCACUUCCUUGUUAUGGUAAUUCAAGCGGCAUUGGUAAGAAGAUGCACUUCCUUGUUUUGAUAAUUCAAGCAACAUUGGUAAGGAGAUGCAUUUCUUUGAUUGGGUAAUUCGAACUUUGCUUUUGGGUAAUGCACUUCCUAGCAGUCCCCUUGAUUUCUAGAAAAUGAACUUUCUAGUCGAGUUAUUGCACUUAAUCCUUUGGAGGCGCACUUUCUUGCUAGUUUUUAUUUGUUAGGUGACACACUUUUUAACUUAAACUUGUAUCUCUAGAAGACGCACUUUCUAGUUAGAAUCCCUCACUUUAAUUCUAGGGAGACGCACUUCCUAGGCUUGGUUAUUCAAUUUUACUCUCAAGAGAUGCAUUUCUUGGUCAGAGUCUUAAUUCAUCAUUACAACAUGCAAGUAGGUAUGAUGUGACUUUCCCAAAAGUCUUCUGAUAAUAAACUAGGGCAAAAAUUGAAUUCUUUUUUUNNNNNNNNNNNNNNNNNNNNNNNNNNNNNNNNNNNNNNNNNNNNNNNNNNNNNNNNNNNNNNNNNNNNNNNNNNNNNNNNNNNNNNNNNNNNNNNNNNNNNNNNNNNNNNNNNNNNNNNNNNNNNNNNNNNNNNNNNNNNNNNNNNNNNNNNNNNNNNNNNNNNNNNNNNNNNNNNNNNNNNNNNNNNNNNNNNNNNNNNNNNNNNNNNNNNNNNNNNNNNNNNNNNNNNNNNNNNNNNNNNNNNNNNNNNNNNNNNNNNNNNNNNNNNNNNNNNNNNNNNNNNNNNNNNNNNNNNNNNNNNNNNNNNNNNNNNNNNNNNNNNNNNNNNNNNNNNNNNNNNNNNNNNNNAAACUUAAGUCAGGAGUCCAACAGAAGCUGUAUAGAUAGAAUUUUUGUAAUUUCAUUUAUGUUUUAACUUGUAAUUUUCAUUUUUGAUAUAAUGACAGAGCCGCGGACCAGAUCCUCGACGGGACCUCACUCGACUCUCCAACUCGAUCGUCCUUCUUCCUUUUGUUUCUUCCCUGUGAAUAAUGGCCGGGUCAAAAUUCUGUCUCAUUGUCUACUUCUUUGUAUGAAAACAUUUUGUGUUUACCUGCAAAGGGGGCAUGAUGUAGACACAUAAUUUUGUCCCUUCCCGAAAACAUUCUUACCAUUUUACCCUCGUCUUAGUGUGUGCCCUCACCCGUGUGAUAACCCCUUCAAAAAAAGACAAAAAUAACAAUUCCUAACUAAUUUUAUCUUAUUCUAACAACCCCUCCAUAUUAAAAAAUGACACAUCACCCUUACCACUCCCUCUCCACGUGACCUCCCCUUUUUAUUUCUUAUCCACAAAACAAAUAAAAGGACCCAGAAGCAUAUUCCCUGGAGGAGAUACUGACUGUCACUCUGAAGACAAAAGAACCCACUACAAUUCUCACAAGAAGGGAGAUACAAUAUUAUACAGAUAGGGGUCUUCAACUUUUUUCUUUUUGGACCGAACAAGAUACAGAUACACAGACCAAAAACUUCAUCAUCGGGGAUUUUUCUUUUCCAUUUUUGGAUACCCAUCACCAUUCCAUUGGCUAAAAUAGCAACACACAGAGAUCAAAGAGAGAUUGAGAGAGAAGAGAAAAAAGCAAGAGAAAGAGAGAGAGAAGCAGAGUAGAGAACCGCGAGAGAGGGAUAGAGAGGAGAGAGAUCGAACGAGAGAUGAUUCAGGGCGGAGGAGAGCAGCGCCUCCACUGUUAAGCUCGUUGGAGCUCUGGAGACGCUACAACAAUGACCGGAGCAUGCUAGGAAGCCACUAAAUCCGACCUCCAGUGUCGAUUACCAUCCACCGAAAAGCGACCAAAAACAGUAACGGAGUGUGCUAAUUAGGUACGAUUGGUAGGGCUUUAUGAUCUUUGCUUUGGGUUGCAGGUUUGCUUUCGUGAAUUCGUGCUCAGGUCAAAUAUUGAGAUUUUUGUGGUUGAUUUAGUACGGAGUUGGUGAGUCCUUUGUUGAGGUUCGAUUCGAGGUUCUUCGGCAUGGUUUCUGUCUUUUCGUUAAAGCAUUAUUGAAUUUCAAAACCUUUAAAUCAGGGUCUAAUUCUCUUCCUUCUCUUCUUUAUUUCAUAAUUUGUCGUGUUCUAUGCUUUGAAUUGAAUCCGGUGUGUUGGUUGAUCCGUGGUGAUGUGAAUUAUUGUUUGUUUUGAUUUGGUGUUUGAUUUUCUUGAUUAUGGAUUAAUUAUAAGGUGUGUGAUGAAAUAAUAUCUCAUAGAGGAUUAAAAUUGAUUAUUUGGGGAAUGGGAAUCGAAAAUUGAUAAAAGUGAAUAUUAUAGUAUUUUGAUUCAUUGUUGAUGUUGAACGUGAUAUGUCAUCGAGCGGGUAGGCAAGCAAUAGGCUCGGGUAGGCAAAAUUUAGAAUUGGUGGAUUGUUGGAAUGUUUGAAAUAUGUGUUGGAAUUGUUUUGUUUUAUCACAUUUAAUUCAACUGUACUCAUUUGGCCGGGGAAUGCCCCGAGGUACUUGUAUCUAUUCACCGGGGAAUGCCCCGACGUAUCAUGUACGCAAAGGAGGUUCGUGAAGAAGGCCCGAGGCAUCGGGUAAAUCACAGGAGCAUAGUUAGGAUUAGUGUAGGUUAGAUAGGGUUUAUUCUCAUAUUUUUUUCUAUUUUGGACUGUAUAACUCGGACUGGACAUUAUAUUUUUUACUCAUUUUGUUUUGUUUGUUGUUUGAUUGUUUUACAUGUUUUAUGUGGUUUAUACAUUCGUAGGAUCAAAUUAGCCGAUAUGUUCCACCAAGCGACCUUGGUCAAACCACGGGACCGAGGGGUUCCUAACACCUUCCCCUCGGUCAACAGAAUUCCUUAGUCGGAAUAUCUGUUCACAGAUCAGUUUAAAAGAGUCAAAAUUAUUUUCGAAAAAAGAUUUUCAAUGGUAACUUGGCACACCUGAUUAUGCCAAGUGGCGACUCUGAGUUUAAAUAUAAAUAAUCCUUUUUGUUUCGAAACAAAAUUUUUAUUUUUUGUCACUUUAAUAAAAGCCCUUCCGAAACUUAAAACGAAUCUUUUUGGAUGUUGAAAAAGGGGUCUGACAAAUAGUAUUACUGAUGAAUUUUUAUUAUUUACUGUAAAAAUUAUCUAUCACUGUAAAAAUUGUCUAUCACUAUUUUUUUUUAGUCUUGAAAUGAUGCCAACUAGGGGCAUGUAAAUUAAGCCGAGUUAAUAAAUGGACUGAUUAAGUUAUCUGGGACCAAAAUUCAGGUCAUAACUCCAUCCAUCAAUUUGGACUUAUAUCAAUGACUAUAUAUUAUAUCAAAAAUAUAUUUAAAAAAAAAAAAAAAAUUCUCAUGGCUCAGUUUAUACUGUAUAUUAGUAUUAUUUCAAAAUAGAUUAAAUUAAAUAAAUUAAAAUGAAUUAAAUUAAUAAUAAAUAGAUCAUUAAGUCAUUCAAACCUAGAUAAUUUAAGUUAAUUUUAUGGAUAAUUUUUACAAUCCCAAAAUAAACAUCUCUCUAUACUUGUCUAUUUUAUUAUAGACAGGUAGGAUCAUUAUGUGUAAGGCUUAUUUGGGCAUAAUGUAUUGCUAUCUUGUGAAUAAUGCUGAUUGUUUCAUUAUUAUCAACUCAUAAACACGAGCAUUACGUAUUAAGAUAAUCAUUUCAAAUUCUACACUUGUCAAAAGAUUUGGUCAAGCCAUUUUGAUAUUUGGGUGGAUUGAGGGUAAGAUAUGAAUUUAGCUUUAUUUUGUUUGUGGUGUUCAUAUAUAUAUAUAUAUAUAGGCGUGGUGUUGUAUGUGUAGUUUUUUUUUAUGGAAUUCUAUUGGUAAAUAUCGUUCCGGGUAUAUCACUUGUAAUAUUAUUUUAUCAUAUAUAGAUUUUUUUUUUGCUGCUAUCUGUUGUUAUGUUACUCUCUACUGUCUUCUGUGCCUCUAUUACAUUCUUUUCUAGAUGAUAUUUGGUCUUGAGCGAUUGAUUUAUCAGAAACAACCUCUCUACUUCAGCUUUGAGGUAGUGGUACAGACUGCUAAACGCUCUCCCUUCCCCUGAUCCCAUUUUAUAAGAAUAUACUAAAUAUGUUGUUGUUUUUGCUGUUGUGAUGUUCAUAUUUACAUUGUAUAAAAAAUAAUUUAUUUUUACUAUAUUAUAUUUUUUAUGACAAAUUUAACUGAGUGAUUUUAUAAGGAAAAAAAUUAAUUGAACAAUAUUAUUGAUAUAAUAUAGUAUUAAAUAAUUUCUUAUUAUUGAAUGAACUUCCUGUAAUAUUUGAUCUUAUUUUUAUCACCACUAUGUUAUAGUUUAAGUAGAGCCGUCAAUAUGGGCCAAGGCCCGGUGGGUCAGCCCGGCCCGGUCCAGCCUGUAACUUGAUGGGGUGGGCUUCAAUUUUUGCAACCCAUUUAAGAACAGGGCUUUUUAACCCAACCCGGAUAAGCCCAUGGCCCGUAGAGUUUGAGGAAUGUGGGUUGAGCUAGCUCGUGGGCCGACCCGUCAGUCAAAUAAUAAAUAAUUUAAAAAUAAAAUAAAAUCCUGAAAAAUAAUAAAAGAGUUAAAAACAAUCAAGUCCAAUGAUGACCAUUGACCGGUUCCAUUAACAAAGAAAAUGGAAACUGAAAAGUUUCCUACUUUCCUAUCUAAUAAAUAAUUAAAUAUCUACCACUAAAACAUAAAGAGUACAUUGUACUCUUCACUUUCUUAAUUUCCUUAGUUCAGCUAGCCGCCUCCUCUUCACCAUAUCUUCCUCAAUGCGCCGUCGGCUUUUAACCAUGAUGUUUCCGAUUAAGUAGUGCCACCUCUUCAUUUUCUUCCUACUUUGGGUGAUUCGAGCUAGCUCCCUUUUGAUUAACAAACAUUAAUACUAUGUGUUAUUGUGUGAUAAAUAUUUAUGUUUAUUCAUAGUGUAAAAUUAAAUUAUAAAAUACUAUUUUUUAAAAAGUGGGUUGGCCCGUGAAGCCCGCAGCCCACAGGGUAAUAGCAUGGGCUUGAUACUUUUUGGCCCAUCAUUUAAAUGGGUCAGUCCGGCCUAACCCGUCAAACUCAAAACCCGUAUGGGCUAGCCCAGAUUGGCUGGACCAACCCGUAUUGACAGCUUUAAAUUUAAGUACAUAUGCAAAAACAUUAUAUUUUUACUAUAUUAUAUAUUUUUAUGACAAAUUUAACUGAGUGAUUUUAUAAGAAAAAAAUUUAAUUGAACAAUAUUACUGAUAUAAUAUAGUAUUAAAUAAUUUUUCAUUGUUGAAUGAACUUCCUGUAAUAGUUGAUCUUAUUUUUAUCACCACUAUGUUACAAUUUAAGUACAUAUGUAAAAACAUGCGGGGGGGCUGAGAAAUGAAAUUGAUUUUGCAUGAGCAUAUCAAUAACUUUCUUUUUUUCUUUUUUCAUUUACCAAUUACUUCCUGAAAAAAUAGCACAGUAGAAACAUGCAGGAAAGCUGUGAGAAGAAAGGUGCGAAACUAAAAUUUGGUCAAAUUCAUGUAAUACUAUAACUCAAUUCAAAUAAGAAAUGUCAAAGUGUUGAAUUCAUCAAUAAUAUAUAAAGUUAUAGUGUUAACCGAACCUUUAAUAGACACGAAGUAGAAGACUACCCCCGGCGUUCCUCCUCGAUGAUCCUUAAGUGAUCUGUCAAACCAUCGCAUCAAUUCCGUCCAAUUUAUGGGGUACAUUUUGAAUUUUAAGAUUCAAACGAUUAAACUUUACCUUUACAUAAAAUUUUGUGAAAGUCCAAUAAAAGAUUCUAUACCACUUGUAUUAAACAGAAAAACACGAGAUAGUAGCAUAACAGAAACUAUAAUAUGAUCGCAUUAUCAGAAUAAUAUGAUUAAACAUAAUCUUUACUGAAAAAACACGAGAUAGUAGCAUAACAAAAACUAUAAUAUAAUCGCCUUAUUAGAACAAUAUGAUUAAACAUAAUCUUUACAAUACAAUCAAAUUAUAAAAUAUAUUCAAAAUACAUACAUUAGGAACCAAAAAUAAAUAUAAAUAAAACCUAGAUAAUGUAUUGCAAAAAAAAUGUGAAAAGGGAUACAUAUAUAUAAAUUGUAUCAUAGAAUCCAUUAUAAAUUAGAAUACUACAAUUAAGAAUCGAUUGCUAAAAUUAAGAAUCACAUUCAUAUUAAAAUAGGACGAAAAAAAUAAAAUAAGUAAAAAAUCUUAAUCUUUUAAAAAAAAAAAAAAAAACUAACUAACUGGUGUUAGAAUACAUAGAAAUAAGUAAAGACUCCAACCAACAAUCACCUCAAAGAUCCAACAUUACCACAAACAAUCAAGAAAAUUUAGUCAAAAGUAUUACCACCAAAUUCUACCACUAUUAAACAAAAAGGGUUUUGGCCACUCACAAAGCUACUAAGAAAAAACACAGAACAUUAUUAUGAAUUACCAAGUCAGGUGAACUUGGUGAAGGAUCGGGAUGUUCUUCAAGGUGAUGUCUAUGGUGGUAUGAUAAGGCUGAAUAUGGCCGAUUCUUGAAGAAAAGGAAAUAAUAAAAUAAGUAAAAGAUCCCCUAAUCCCCUAAAAAAAAAAUAUAACUAACUAAUGCCUUGUUAAAAUAGGUAAAGAAAAUUAAUAUAUCUAAAUUGAAGAAUAGUGAAUGAAUUUUAUUCCUAAAUUAAUUCUAUUCCUAAUAAAUCCUACAGUUAAAAGAGGUCAUAAAUUAAGUUAGUAAACCUAAUGAAAUUAAAUAAUAAUUUUUUUAAAAAAAAGUGAAGACAAUUUUGUCUAUUAAGAAGAUUUUUAAUAAAGGGUAAAAAGUUCAAAUCACUUUUCUAAAGGUCUUCACACUUUUAAUAUACUAUAGAUAUAGAUAUAGAUAUAGAUUAUAGAUUAUAGAUUAUAGAUUAUAGAUUAUAGAUAUAGAUUAUAAAUUAUAGAUAUAGAUUAUAGAUUAUAGAUAUAAGCAUGAUGCUUGGUUGUUUAGCUAUGUCGAGACAAAAAAUCGAUAAAGUCAUUUAAUGACAUUAUUACUUCGAAAGAUUUUUAAGAAAACUUUGAGUGAUAAUUUUUCUAGGGGAAUCUUAGUAGAUUAAUUGGUUAGUUACCUGAACUUUCACCUUGUUGGUGAGGGUUCGAUUCCCCACAUUGUAAUCACCUCCCCCAUUUCCCUUCCCCUAGCCCCAAUUUAAAAAAAAAAGAGUAAUAAUUUUUCUAGAAUAAUAAUUUAAAUAAAGAAAGAAUUUGUGUUUCUACAAAUAGAAUCUUAUUUAACAUUAAAUUUCUAAAUAUUAGGAAUUCCUAUAUGAUUUGAUUAAGGGAAAAAACUUAUAGUCAUAAUUUUAUUUAAUUUGAAAGUGCUAAAGUAAAUAAAUAAAUUAUAUAGUAUACAACAACGACAACAUGAUGAGUAUCAAUUAUUUCAUUCAAUAGAUUUGGACUACCAAAUUUCUUUGACGUGUUUCUUCAUUAUUUUCUUGGCAAGACUUACAUGGCAUCUUCGAACAUCCAUCAGGAAUUUUCUUGAACUUAUAAUUUCUGCAGAAUCGGGCUCAAACAGGGAAAAUAUCGGCAUACUAGUUUAUGAUUGAUGUGACAAAUGCCAAACUUUUCACAAUAUUUAUAUAGACUAGACGUAUCUUUUGGCGUCGACCACAUCAAAGUCCAUUCUCUUAUCUCUUUAUACCAACUGUAGAAUUUUAUUUCUUCAUAGGAGUUCAGUAAGAGCCUAUACUUAGCUUAUUCAAUAUUUUCGUCGAUUCCAACGACUAUUGACAAUGUCAUUCUUAGUAAAGUUGGAUAACAUGUAAGCUGCAAAAUUGGACAUCUCACCAAAGCAAAAGUGUCCAGAAAUAGCUAAUUUCACAAAUCUUUUCCAGUGAAUUACAUCCUGUACCGAAAGUAUAAUAUAUUUGCUCCUAGAAAACUUUUUCAGUUCUUGUGUUUGCUGCUAUCUUCCUAUUCUAUCUCAAUUGUCUAUCCAUUUCAGAUUAGGAAGAGUCCCUUAGCAGUAGCCUCCAACUCUUAAGAUUGACCUCCUCAAAUGCCAAAUAUGAAUGUUUUCUGAAUUUUAUACAAAAAUAUUAUUUACUUACGUUGAGUGUACUUUUGGCUUACCAAAUUGUUAUGUAUACAUUAUAUUAUUAAGUACAAAAUUUUAAAAAAAAAAAAAGUAAAUCUUGUAAUAUAAGAAGUAUACAUAAAAGGAACAUGAUAACUCACCAUCACAUAAUAAUCAAAGAGCAAAGUUAAAUAUAGUGAACAAAGUUUUAUUAUUGAUAUCUAAAGUUAAUAAUUCGGGAAAGAACAAAAUAGAAUUACACAAAACUAGAAUUUUUAAGUAGAUAAAGAAAAUUUUAAGUGACAAAACUUGAGAGACGGUUAUUAUAAUAUAAUCUUAAUUUCAAUCUUUAUCCACGUUUAAACAUUUCAUGACAUCAAUCAUUAGUCGUUCUGCCAAUAUUUCAUUGAUUUGUGCUUACAAUCCUUCCCAUGCUCCUUACAAAAUUGUCCAAGCAUUUUCUUUUCAUAUAUACGACAAAGUCUCUAAUAUCAAUUCUCAAUUUAUAACAUAUUCUAUAAAGUAAAAUAAUAUGAUAAAUAAAGUUAACUUGCUAUAAAAAUCAAGUAGGAAACACUUUUAAAACUUGAGGAAACUCUUGAUCCUCUUAAACUUACUAUUCUAAGUUAAUCCAUAUUGAAUAACACACACAUGCAUUUUUUAUUUUUGUGUUAGAUUCUUUUAACUUGACUUGUAUGACAGCUAUCAAUCAAAUUUAAAGUCUAUUUCACUACGAAUUCAAAAGGUUUCAUUUUUACCUUUUUUGUUACUUUCAACAUCUUAAACAUUAGGCCAAAUCUUAAAUAACAACAAAUUUCAUCAAAAAGAUAAUUUAGUUUUGACAAGACAAAAAAGUCAUCUAAUAUUUGAAAAAAAAAAUUCUACUAAUGUGUUUUGCAACAUAUAAAAUUUAUUUCAGUAAAAAUAUAUUUAAAUUUUACAAUGAAUAAAAGUCAUCUAAUGUUUGAAUGAUAUUUUAUACGAACGUCUGUUGUACGAAUAUUCCUUGCCAAUAACUGUAGCAUUAUGUUAACAAUAAUAAAUUGUACUUGAAUAUGAUUACCUAAUGUUUAAAUUUAAGAUGAUUAACUAUUGUUAAAAUCUUAGAGCAAAUCAUAUUUUAUACCUGCAAAAUAUGAGGUGACACAAUAAAGCCUCACGAGCCAUUAAAAUAUUUUUUUUAUAUGUUUGAUAUAUGUUUACAAACUUAAAAUAAUUAAACUCGGUAGAAUUAGUGUUCGUCUGUGAUUCAUAAUCUCUAUCCAAGACUCCAAUUUGUAUCAUGUUAUAAAUUUUGACUAAACUUAACGUAAUUAGAAUUUAAUUAAUAUUUGAGACCACCUUUGCAAUUUGGCCUUUUAGUUCGUAGUAGGUAUAGAUUUGUAUGUCCAGUUUAAAGUCCUUAAAAUAUCAAACAUGGAGUUUAAAUCUAAAAAAAAAAAAAGAAAAAAAAAGGAUCACCAAUUUAAAAAUCUUGAUUCCAAUUCUAAUCAAAGGAGUCUUAUAGCUUACUUGAUCAAACUUAUUUUUUCUGAAAAGUAUUUUUUAAAAAAAAAAUAUGUUUGUUUUUAAAAUUGAGGUGAUUGGCCAAGCGUUUGAGAUAAAAUAAGUGCUUUUAGAGAGUUCAUCCUGAUUAGCCUCUCGUUUCAAUAUUUAUCUAAUUAUGAUAAUUAAUAAGUAUUAUAUAUAGAGAUAAAUAUUUAACUAUAUAGAGUUAUAAAUUAGAGAUAAAUAUUUACAUUUUAUUUUGAUGAUCUAGCGGAAGGACCUUUUUACCCAAGGUAAGGGAUAACAUUGGACAUGUUAUUUUGGUUAUAAAUAUUUGGAUUAUAAUUCUAACGAUUUAAGAAAUUCGUGCUAAAAUUCACAUUGAAAUUAGGUGAAUUGGACCUACUUAUUACAGACUUGAAUGUUUUUUUAUGGACAGAAUAAUUUUGUUAUCUACACAAAGCUGCAUAGAAAGCCAUAAACUUGAAAAUGCCCAAAAGGUUACUUAUUGGGCUUCAUCAUACAUGAAAUGGAACGGAUCGUUGUUCUAAUACUGUUACAGCCCAUACAGGAUACUGUUGAGAUUGACAAUUCUGAUACUGUUGGGCCAUGGUCCUAUCUAAAUUACUUUAAAAAGUUUAAAUUGACAAAAAAUAAUUACUCUAUUCUUCAAAUUUCAAUACUCAAAUUCACUCCAAAAAAGCUAAAAUUUGAAAAUAUAAAUUUCGUCUAUCAUAAAGAACAAAUCUUAAUCAUCAUGCAUGAUUGAAACAUAUGUUAAAAUAAGAUAAAGUUUUAGUUAUGUAUACUGACAGCGGAAGAAAAAGCAGAAGAAGUUAAAAUGGAGCAUGCGCUUUUACCUAAAAGCUGAGUAUUCAUGAGAAACAAAACAUAGAAUAUGUACUAGAUAAAUUGAGCAAUCAAAAUAGGACGACCCAUGAAAUUUUAUUCGUCCCUCUCUUCAUGUGAAAUGCUAUUUUUUCAUAUGCAUUCUAAAGUAAAAAGUGAGUCUAAUGUGACAGUUUAUGAAUUUUGCAGUCCCAUACAUUAAUUUUUAUUGGUUUCUAUAGUCGAUCGGUCGUUCUAUUUCAAGAAAGACUCAACUUCAAAAUCGUCUGAGCUUUUGCCUCGUACGACUCCUCAAGGGAGGGAGGCAGUUCUAGCUCAGUCUUGUGGGAUUGAAGUUGUUGUACAUGUACUCAUAAGAAAAGAGUGAAAACAACUGAACUAUCAUCUUUUGGUCUUUGACAUAAAGAAAAAAAUUACCUCUUAGUUAAUGAAACAACAAAGACAUGGAUGACUUAUUCAUGUAAAUCAAUAAAAAUAUGAGAAAAGAAAUAGAAAAAGCAAAAAUUAAAGUCGACUUCUAUUAUUGAAUUUUUUCAAAUCGUUGAUACAUUUGUUGAAUUUUUGGAAAAAAAAUCAUUAUGCUAUAUUUUAGUUAAAGAACAACUCAGAGAUGAAUUUCGCAACAAGAUCAAAAUAUUAGGCAUCUUGGAGACCUUAAAUUUUAAAAAUAAUCAUAAUUCCAAAGAUAAAAUUAUAAAAAAUGUUAGGUUAUAGAGUUAGAGUUAUACAAUUUGAUUCUUGAAAUUUAUAAUCCGACGAUAGAAUACAAUUUCAUCAUUUUAAUUUAUCUAUUGCAAUAAGUGAGAACUUAGGAAGAAUGUUAAAAAAUGUAAUCAGAUUUUCUCUUAGAUAAAGAGAAUGUACCUUUUUAAACCAUAUAAUUUUCACUUUUAAGGAAUAUUACCAUAGAACUACUUUUAAAAAAAUAGGGUCUUAAAAAUUUGGGACCUCAAGAUAUUGCUUUUAAUGACUGUCAUUGACCGACAUUGGUGGGUGUAUGAGUUGUCAUAGGGUUGGGGUUGUUUUAGGGUAGGAGGAGAUAAUGAACUUAAAAUGUAAAUUUAUAAAACUUGUUUUUCAUGCCCCGAUUAAAAAAAUAUAUAUUUUUAAGAAACUUGUAUUCAUAGAGACAAAUAAAACAUGAAGAACUAAUUAGAAAACAUUUUCAUCCAUACCAAACAUAACCAUAGAGCAAACAUAUAAACAACUGCCAAAACCAAGAUUUUGCUAUAUAUAAAUACCAUUGGAAGAAAAUUAAAUGGACCAAAAUCCAUAGUUUUCACUCCUCCGAUCUAGUUCAUAAUGAACUUCCAAAGUAAACAUGAUUGUCUCUACGGCGACAGACACACAUACUACACCGGAUGAACUAGCUAUGAAAAUAAAAUAGAAUUGUCCCUACAACGACAGAUGUUCAUCCUCUACGAAUGAACUACUAAAGCAAAUAUGAUGACCCUCACGGUCUCUUCUAGCAAAGUUGGAUUUGACUGAUGAAACAAACAUGGAUCAUUUGGGGUUUAUCCCUGACAUUAUUUCAUGUGCAGCUUGCUUGUACAUGUCUUCCACAGAUAAAUCUCCAGAGAUCAACUGCUCUAAGCCACUUGCACCUCUUGCCUGAACAUAUAUCAACAUGUUUUCAGUAAAGUUUUACAAGUGGGUCUGAAGAGGGCGGUGUGUAUACAACCUUAUAUUUAUUUUGUUCAAGUAAAGUAACCUAAAUUAUUUCUGAUAUAAUCUUGGACUAAACUAUACUGUGGUUUAUGAAACAAAUAGAGAGAAUUUUGGGUGAGACUAGGUGCAUGAGAGGAGGCAUUUCUAGAAAAAGAAUUUUCAAAUAUACACUAAAAUGUGUUGUAUUUUUUGAAUAGGUUAAAAAGAAAAGAGUAUCAUAAUAAAUUAAAUGAUUAGUAAAAACUCUUGUGUGAGUAGCAUUUCAUGCGUUUCAAUUUAUGUAUUAUAAUAUCUAUUUAAAAAAGAAAAGGAAUAUUGAUCUUUCAAUGCAGUAAAUUUUUCAUUCCAAAACAUUUCAUCUAGUCCUAGUUAAUAAUUAAUACCUCUUAGAGGAAUGACAUAGUAUGUUUUUAUGGUACACCCCUUAAUUUCAUACUUUAAAAUUCAAAAGUUUCUCUCAAAGACACGUAAAAUGAAUUAGAGAGUACUAUUUUAUUUUAUUUUAUUUUUUAACUAAAAACCCUAAUUCACAAUCUUCAAAAUGACCAACAUAGAUUUGUAAAUUGAGCACAUAUUAAUACAUAAAAUUAAAUGGAUCUCUAAAUAUCAAUAAAGGGACAGUCCUGUGCAUUAAAACUCCCGCUAUACAGGAGUCAGGGAAAGGGCAAGAACAAUAAUUUCACAUUAAAGAAGAUAAUUUCCCUAUUAAAAAAAUAAUUAAAGGAGAAAGGACUUACAUGGGUUUGGAUCAUGAACAGAUUUCUGAAUUGAUUAGAUGAAACGUGAGCAUGCACAAUGUCAAUCUUAUUUUUCUCCAGAACAUGACAAAUGAAGGUAAAAAGCCCAGGCUUCUUAGGACAACACACACUAAUAUGUGCCUCUUCUCCACAAACAUUUAGCACAACAUUAUCUGAACUCCAUGUCUCAAAAUCAGUUGGAACAUUAGUGUUCAAAAGGGGAAUGCCAGUGACAUUGUUGUUGUUCUUUGGUGUUAUAGCAGCUGAGUUACUAGCAGAUCCUUUAUCAGCCAAAAAUUGUUCCCAGCUAGUGCCAACACGUAACUUCUGUGGAGUCAUUACGGGAUUGUUCAUUGUGGACAGCUUCGCUAUGCCAAGUUGAAUCCUUUCUAGCUUUUGUUCUUUAAGAUUGUCAACAGUGUUCUCCAACAUUUUGAUGUACCUCACAGUUUCAUCAACAAUUGAGGACUUGUCCGCCUGCAUAUAUACACACACAAAAAUAAUAAAAAAUAAGAAAUUACUUGCAUAUAUAUACGUACAAAAAUAAAUGAACUCAAUUUCUACAUACUGACGAUAUAAAAUUAAUUUUACGUUUUAUUAAUAUAUACUGACAAUAAUGUAAGAAAUCUACGCUAUCGGUCAUUUUUAUAUGUUUUGCAAGAUAUGAAUCUCAAAGGCGAAGCUAGAAUAGAAAGGUGGAAUUAGGCAAAACUCGAUAUAUGACUUUGAUUUUGAGCCAUGUGUAUAUUGGCUAAAAGGGAUCAUUUGAUAAUAUACAAAUUACUUAAAAAGACUAGAAUUUAGAAUCCAUAAUUUUCAAAUCAUGUGUCGCAUCAGACCAAUUUAUCCCUCUUAUAAAAGUUAUUGUAUAUGCUAUUUAGUGAUCUUAAAAGUUAAAAAAAUAUACAUAGAAAAUCAUAAUUAGUAGCAAUUAAUAUGAAAAAUACGCAAGUUAUCGUUAAUAACAAGUUAAAAUACGCUAUUAUUAUAUAUAAAGAUUCUUUUACGGUUAAUGUGUAUAAGUUGAAUUAAUAUAAAAUUAAUACAUACAAAUAUCUUAUUAUUAUCUGGAUUAAGAAAGAGCAGAUAAAUUUUGAAUGAAAAUCAGAAUAUGUUGAAAACUUCUUCUUUUUUUUAUGCAUUUAGUCGAGAAGUGGGAAGAAUUUUUUUUUAAAGAAGUGUAGAAUCUUAUAUAGCUAUGUGCAAAAAAACCGGAAGUUCUAUAUUGUUUUUUUCUUUCUUUUUUUGGUGCAUCAUAUCAUUCCAUUUUGGAAUUAACAUGUACAUACAAAUUAAUAGUAAGAAUGUGUAUGUCCCCAAGUGAAUUGAUUCCGAUUGAGUCGAGGAUUUAUUAAAAAUAAUUUCUCUACUCCAUAAAGGUAGAGACAAGAUUUGUGUAUCCUUCUUAGACUUCAUUUGUUAUAUUAAAAAUAAAUCGUAUUUGUUCUUUGGAAUUGGAUCUAUACCACAAGAAAAAAUCAAGCUACAUGAUUCUAUGUGAAACUUGAUUUUCUUCCUACAAAGAUUUUUCAAAAAUUCACUCGAUUUAGAAAGGUUGGAGCAAUAAAAAUAUCACAAAUUUGAAGAGUGAUCAUACAAAUUGCCAAAGAAACCAAACAGAGUAAAAAAGUAAAAUUUUAAAUCAUUUUACAAGUUUCUAUUUGAUCUAAAGAUUUUUUUCAUGUUCAUUUUUUGAAUAAUUAUUGGAAAAAUUGAUUAGAAUUAUUUAUUAAGGUUGUGGAAGACAAUAAAAAUUUAAACAAGGGAAAAAAAGUUAAGAUAAUCAUAAAUUUUUUAGUUUCUUUUGCUUGAUCGAUAGGAUAUUGGAUAAAAAAAGGUAUGUCAUGAAGGGGAGAAAAUUACCUUAGAUUGAAGAUGAGGAAGCAAAGUUUGAAGAUCCUCAAACAUGUUUCGCAUCCUCUUCCUUCUUUCUCUUUCCGUCCUUAUGUGUAACUCAUGACCUGAUUCUCUACUUCCAUCUCCAUUCGCCCUAGACUUUGGUUCACCACUUUCAUUAGUGCCCUUCUUUUCAUUGGAUCGACAUCUUUUUUUACCACCAAGACUCGCUUCACCUACCUCUUUAACAGCUGCCAAUGACUGACAAGUAUUAGACCUAUUCGGAUCUGGCAACUUGUCACCCACAAAUUCUACGCCGCUCCCAACUAGUUGGCCAUUGUCGGAGUUCAAAAAUGACCACACUUCAUUAUUUUCCCAUAUCAAACAAUCAUUCUCGCCACCUUCAUUCAUCUUUUUUUUCUUUCUUCAGAUGGUAUGAUAGUCUACCCUAAGUUACGUCUUUAUAUAGAGGUUUUUUCUCAGAGGGAGAUAGUGUAAAAAGGAGAAAUAAGAGGAUUGAAUAGGAUAUAAAUAUUAAAUAUGAAGAAAAUAUAGAGAAGGGUGGCAAAAAAGAGAUAUAAGAAAAGAUGAUUCACUUAGUAAUGAAGUAAUAAAACAAAAUACAAUCAUAAGCCAAAAUGCCGUUACUGGCUUCAAAACAAAAAACGGUAGCCAAAGCACUUUUGUUACAAAUUUUGUUCUCACUUAAUUGGGUCCCAGUUAACACUUAGCUCUACUAAAAUUAAUUAAUUAAUUUGUUACUCUACUUACCAAUAUUAGAUUACAAAAAUUUAAUCAAGAUAUUUGGUCAAAUAAUCAUGAUAUUCUUCUCAUCUAUACUAACGGCCUAAGUUCUUUUUUAAAAAAAAAAACUUUUAAAAUUGAUCGUAUAUAAAUAUAAUGACUAUAACAAAUACAAAUAUUAGUUGUUAGUUUAUUUGAAUUAACGCUAUUUCUAUCUCAUCUAUAACUGUUUAAUAUUUAUAAAUCUAUUUCCUAUUACAAAAAUAAAAAAAAAGGUAAGAGGUUAUCUGACUAACGUUAAUGCGAUUUCAUUAAUAGCUGACUUCAUCUAAGUAAAAACAACUUGCUUUUUAAUAAAAUUAUUUUCUAUCGAAAACAUUCUAAAUUUAUUAUACUAUUUUUUACUCUCCAUUCAAGUUAAUCAUACUAGAAUUAGUUAAUUAAUUUGUUAUUCUACUUACCAAUAUUAGAUUGCAAAAAUUUAAUCAAGAUAUUUGGUCAAAUAAUUAAGAUAUUCUUCUCAUCUAUACUAACGCCAAAGUUCUUUUUUAAAAAAAAAAAAUUAAAACUAACCGUAUAUAAAUAUAAUAACUAUAACAAAUACAAAUAUCUGUUCUUACUUUUUCUAAGUUAAUACUACUUCUAUCCCAUCUGUAACCGUUUAAUAUCUAUAUAUUUAUUCCCUAUUACCAAAAAAAAAAAAAAAAAAGGUAAGAGGUUAUCUGACUAAUAUUAAUGAACUUUCAUUAAUAGCUGACUUCAUCUAUGAAAAUAAAUAAAAACAACUUAUUUUUUUAUAAAAUUAUUUUCUAUCGAACACAUCCUGUAUUUAUUAUAUUAUUUUUUACUCAUUCAUUCAAGUUGAUCAUACUAGGAUUAAUAAUUAAGCAAGUAUUUUUUUGUGAAUAAAAAUUUUAUCAUGUAAUAUUUGUCUCAUAUAAAAAGCUAAAGAUCAUCAUUAUAUUUCAUCUUCUGGUUAGGAAGUUACAAAGCCUCUAAUCAUGACUCUCUCUUUGUUAGCAGAAAAAAUAAAAUUAGUUACGAUAUUCAUUACUAAUAUUUCCCUAAAUAGUUUUGUAGUUUACAAGAAUUUUUAUAAUUUAUUUUUAAAUAGUAUUGCAAGAUGAAUUUUUUUUUUUUUUGGUUUCCCAAGGUAUCCCCACAGUCGGCAGUCGUGAGACUAAUCCUCCGUUCCUACUGUCAGUGUACUAAGCAGUAGGAAACUAGCCACAGAGUUUUUUCAUUCAUCAGAGGUGGGAAUUCGAACCCCCAACCUCUUACUUAAGGGGUGAGAUGCUAAACCACCAUACCAACCCUUGUGGUUUCCAAUAUGAAUUUUUAUUACUUACUACAAAAAUUGUCUGUUGCUAACCUUUGUUUUUUCUUCUUGAAAUGAUGAUAACUAGGGCCAUGUAAAUUAAGCCAAGUUAAUAAAUGGACCAAUUAAACUAUGUGGGACUAAAAUUUAGGUCAUAAGACUCAUAACUCCAUCUAUCAAUUUAAACUAAUAUUAACGACUAUAUAUAAUAUAUUAAAAAUAUAUUCAAAAAAUUAAAAAGAAAUGAAAAUUUCUCAUGGAUCAAUUUAUAUAUUAGCGUAAUUUCAAAAAAUAUUAAAUUAAACGAAUCAAAAUAAAUUAAAUUGAUAAUAAACAGAUUAUUAAAUCAUACAAACCUAAAUAAAUUAACCAAGUUAAUUUUAUGAUAAUUUUUACCACCCCAAAAUAAACAUCUCUCUAUACUUGUCUAUUUUGUUGUAGACAGAUAAGAUCAUUAUGCGUAAGGCUUAUCUGAGCAUAAUGUGUUGCUAUCUUGUGAAUAAUGUUAACUGUUACAUUAUUUUCAACACACAAACAUGAGCAUGGGUAAAACUUAUAUGCGUUCGGCGUAUAUAUCAAGUCAAUAUAUGCACGCCAUGUCUUUGAAUUUAAAGUUCAUGUUACUUAACUAUGAUUAAUCAAUAUGUAUUUUACUUAAUUUAAUUACAUAAUCAUGAUAAAAAAUACUAAUUUAAUAUAUAUAGCGGGUGCAUAUAAGUUUUUACCUAUCAGCAUUAUGUAUUAAGGUAAUCAUUUCAAAUUUUACACUUAUCAAAAUAAUUGAUCUAGCCAUUUUGACAUUUGAGUUGAUUGAGGGAAAGAUAUGAAUAAUUUUACGGUAUCAUUACAAUAUUAAAUAAUUUUUCAUAGUUGGAUGAACUUUUUGUAAUAUUUGCUCUUAUUUUUUCACCACUUUAUUACAAUGUAAGUACAUAUGUACAAACAUGGAAGACAAUGUGAAAUGAAAUUGAUUUUGCAUGAGCAUACCAAUUUAAUUAUAGGAACAAUUGAUAUUCUAAAAUAUUUAAUACCAUCUCAAUAAUAACGUUAAUUAGGACAACUUCUCGGCGUAUACUUAAAUUCAUUUUUAUACUAAUAUUUUGCUACCCAAUAAUAAUAAUACAUACAUAAUAAUUUCAAAUUUAUAAACACCAGAGAUUAUAUGACGAAAUUGACAAUUAGACAAAUUUGUUGUUUUAUUUUCAAAAAUAAAUAUUUCUAAAACUAUUUGAAGUUUGCUAGUCUUUUAUGCAGAAGUUAUAUUCUGAUAAAUAAAUAUAUCAAACUUAAAAGUGUAAAGAUCAACUUUUUUUCUAUUCCACCAUCUUUAUUUCUCGAUUUGUGUGUGUCAUCACUUUCAUGAAGCGGCCAUUCUAAUCUUCCUUGUCUAGUAUCAAUUUUAUCGGAUGUUCCUGGGGGACUUUUCACUAUCUUCAACUUAUUAAGAAAGCUGGAAUCAAAAUUAUAGGCCUAUAUAUUAAAUGAGUUUCAGCAUUUUUCUUCAAACUUUAGCACAAAUAUGCUGAAAUUUAUCUUUAAAAAUUUACAAGAUCGAAUUUCAUAAUAAUAUGGUAGAAUUCACAUACAGGGAGUCUUUUAGUUAUAGUAUACCGUGUUGAAAUCGACAUAAUAAACUAUGAAAAUUUUCUUAAAAAAACUUUACUUGCAUGAGUUUCAAAAUCUAGGACAUUCAACACCUAAAAAAUAUUUAUUCAAAAAUUUCAAAGUAUUAUUAAUAAUAUUAAUUUAGUAAUUAAGUUACACUUUUAAUGAUUUUUUUUUAAAGAAUUAUAUCAUGUCAACAUGAUUCACAUAAAAUAAAACAAAUAAAGUUAUUAAUUUAAUUCUCUAUAUAAUUACUUGAAUGACAAUCAUCAAAAAAAAAAAAAAAAGUCAAUACUAAAAUCAGCUAGAACAAGACCACAAAAAAAAUAUAUGUACUAAAUAACUUAGAAGUCACAUAACAAUUGCUUGACAAAUAAAUUAAAUCCUAGAAACAUGUAGGACAUAUGCGAGACAUUGUUUAUCCUUAGAACUAUUUAAAUUAGAUCAAAUUUAUUCCUCUUUACGUUUUUGGGUUGAAAUGCUCUCGCCUUCAUAUUUGAAAUGUUUAAUUUUAUCCUUAUUCUUUUAAUUAUUUAUUUUUUGGGAGUGGGAGGGGGAAGGAGUAUUAAUAUGAAAACUAUAAUAAGAUAAGCAAAUAAAUAGUAUAAAUGCUUUCCAUAAAAAGAUAGAUAUCAUCUACCUUUUACAACUCUAAGAACGAUAUGAUUUUAGAAAAAAAAAAAAAAGUCAAUUUCAAUUAUAUUAGAUUGUACUGUGCAAUUUAAGACAUUUUUUCUUGUUACAAAAUAGUAGCUUAUUUUCCGAAAGCAUUUUGCAUUCAAUAUAUUGCACAAUUUACUAUGUAUUAGGUUGUACUGACUUAGCUAAUUAAUGUUUUUUGAUUAUUAUUAUUCCUAUUAAUUUAGAUGUGUCAGAUGAUAUAAGGGAAGAGGUUCUCCAGUUAUCAAUCUUUGAUGCUUAGGAGGAUUACAAGAUAUUAUUUAGGAGUGGCACUGUUGGGAUUGAAAUUUAUGUUUUUCAAAGAUUAGUGAUUGAAUUUCAUUAAAAAUAUGUUGAAUAGUUUCUGUAUUGCUUGCAAAUUGGGCACGUGUCAUCAAUGUUAAUCUCGAUAUGCUUUAAAUAAGAUUUACUAGGAAUCAUGUCAUGAAAGCAUUGCCAAAGGAGAUAUUUAAUCUUAUUUGGAUAACUUGAUUCUCAAAUUCAAAUGAAGUUGCUCUUAUUACUAAGAAGAUCGUUAAUUAACAUGUAACAAGAGCUGAUAGUGAAGCUAGUGACAUAUUUUGCAGGAGCCCGAAAAACAUAAUUGAAGAUUCUAUUUAGUAGAGGAAGAUUUAUGGACUUGGUAUCAGAGAGUUAAACACAUUACUCUUCCAUAUUUUCUUUUCUUUUCUAAAAUACAAAAAUUAUGGUUGGAACAGUAGUUGUAAAACAUGAUGCAAACAAGAUUGAUAUCUCUCAUCCCUAUUUUCGCUCCAUCUGAUUCGCCAGGAAUGAGCCUCAUAAAUAACAUCUUUGAUGGUACCAAUUAUGGUAACUGAAAGAGAGGUGUCUUGAUAUCCUUGCCAGCUAAAAACAAAGUAAGCUUCAUAAAUGGAACCUGCAAAUCACCAAGAAAGGAUUCAGCAAUGUUUGCUCAGUGGAUUUGUUGUAAUGACAUGGUCCUCUCUUGGCUAUUGAACUCUUUAAGCAGAGAAAUAGCUGAGAGUGUUAUCUAUUCAUCGAUUGUUGUAGAUCUGUGGAACGAGCUGGAAGAGUGAUAUGGAUAAGUAGAUGUAACCAAGUUAUUUCAGCUUCAAAGAGAGCUAAACAUGAUUACUCAAGGAUCCAGUGAUGUAGCGUCCUAAUUCACUAAAUUAAAGAGGAUCUGGAAUCAGCUAAAUGAGCUAGACACUUUCAUUACCUAUUCCUGUGACUGACUGCACUUGUGGAGCUAAGGAGCACAACCACAAAAUCCUUGAAGAUCAGAAACUGAUACAGUUUUUUAUGGGACUCAAUAAAGCAUACACUGCAAUGCGGGGAAAUGUUUUGAUAAUGAAACCCUUACCAAAUGUAGCACAAGUAUACUCUAUCAUACUAUACCAAGAAACACAACGAGAGGUACAUUUUAACCAACAGAUAACUAUUGAAUCUUCAACUUUUAUGGCUGGACAGAGAUGGAACACUCAACACUCUCACAACUCUCAGAGGAAACCUAUAGAGAAUAAGGGAACAAACCAAUAUCAAGCAAAGAAAAGUGAUAUGUAUUGCAGGUACUGCAAGAAAAUAGGACAUGAGAAGGAACAAUAUUAAAAGUUGAUCGAAUUUCCACAACAUUACAAAAUUAACAAACAAGGAAAAUGAGGUAUUCAACAGGCAAAUAUACUAGAGGCACGUGAUUUCAUCAAGACAGGAAAAGAGGAUGGUGAUCUGAUCAUUUAGAUGUUUCAGUCCAUGCAGGGAGGUAGUUCCAGUUCUCAAAUUCUGAGAUCAAUGCAAGUGCUAACAUGGUUAGUAUGCAGACUUGUAAAAUCAUUUCCCCUUGUUAUUCUAUGUCUCCUAACAAAUCUUGGAUCAUCGAUUCAAGAGCAACAUAACAUAUGACUUUUGAUAAAUCCUUACUACAUGAUGUUGUUAUUCUUAGAUCACCAAUAAUGGUUCAUUUAACUAACUCUCAUAAAGUCCCUGUUACAUGUGUAGGAAAGAUGAAAUUAACACCUCAUAUUAUUCUUCAUGAUGUCCUUCUUGUUCCUGUAUUCACACAUAAUUUACUCUCAGUCAGUAGAAUAUGUGAGCAAUUUGAUUGUAGUCUGACAUUUAUCAAAAUUGGUUGCACUCUACAGGACCCUUCUCUGAUAAAGGUAGCUUUUGGUGAUGCCUCUACUGGUUUAUAUGUGCUGCAAGGAGCUUCACAUUCACUGCAAGAUAAUCAUAUCAAGUCUAUUACUUCAAUGUCUCUUUCUGAUGGUUUGCUUAAGUCUAGUUCUAUAGAGUCUAGUUCUUUUCCUAUUUCAUUUUGUCCAAGAGCUUCAUGCUUUAGUAUACAGAGUCUUGUUUGUCCUGCAAAUUUCAAAGAUAAUGAAAAAAAAUUAGUUUCCAAAGUUACAACUUUAGAAAAUUUAUGGCAUGGUUGAUUGGGCCGGACACUUACCUUUCAAUGCUAUGAAACACAUUAAAGGAUUACCAAUUAACAUUACAAACAACAAAGAAAUUCUUUGUACCAUUUGUCCUUUGGCAAGACAAACUAAAGUCUUUUUUCCUAUUAGAUGCAUUACUUCUGGUCACUGUUUUGAAUUAAUACAUAUUGAUACUUGGGGACUUUGCAAAACACCUACAUACAAAGGUGAAAAAUACUUCCUCACUAUCGUAGAUGAUUUCUCAAGAAGCACUUGGACUUUCCUUCUUAGCAUCAAAUCCAGGGCAUAUUUUAAAAUCCUUCUCUCACUUGUGGAAAGACAAUUUUCCACCCGAGUAAAAAUUAUAAGAUCAGACAAUGCUUUUGAAUUGGGUAUCGGGACAAUACAAAAGGAUUUUUAUCCUCUCAGGGAAUACGUGGUAUUAUACUAAAAUACCCCUUAUAUACUUAUUCUAGAAUAUAUACAUAUGGCAGGGCUAUACACCUGUUCGACAUAAAGAAAAGGAAUCAACUUGUUUUUCUUCUUUGUAUAACUUUACUUAAGUCACACUUUUAGCUUCUUCUUCCUUUUUUCGCACAUGAUGAACCAUCGGAGACUCUGUAGGAGAUAAUUUAACGGCAACAAUAGACUAGAGAUGUUCCUGUUGUGAUUGGUCACAUGAUUCAUAUUUUUCUUGUAAUAUCUAGAAAGUGCUGAGGCAGCACAAUCUCUCUUGGCAAUAUUGAUCCUUCCUAAUUUAAUUAGAAUUGAGAACUGCUCUGACUUAGCUGGAUCGUAUGAGUGAAUGGAAGGAUCGACUUAGGCUUGCAAUGGCGGAAGGUCUAGUGCAUCUGCAUGAGCGAGGACUAAGCUUUGAAUUAGAGUAGAUUUUUCCCUAUACAGGAGUAACUCUUAGAAUAAGGAAGAACAAAGAGAAACGUACUGAAAUAAAGUACGAAAAGAAAACAUGAAAGUAGCUUCCGAGAGAAAUGUCAUAAUUGAUGCUUUUAGCAGAGUUUUGCACUUAAUACACAACUUAAUAUGGCUACAAAUAUUUUCAAGGAGUUCAACAAAUAGACUAGAGAGGUUCUUGUUGUGAUUGGUCACAAUAUUCAUAAAUCUCUUGUAAUAUUUUGAAAGCGCUGAGGCAGCAGCAACACAAUCUCUCCUGGCAAUAUUGAUCCUUCCUAAUUCAAUCAAAAUCGAGAAUUGCUCUGACUUAGCUGGAUGUGAGUGAAUGGAAGGAUCAACUUAGGCUUGCAAUGGCGGAAGAUCGAACGCAUCCACAUGAGCGAAGACUAAGAUUAGAAUAAGAGUGGAUUCUGACCUUUACAGAGGUAGCUUUUAGAAUAAGGAAUAACAAAGAAAAAUUUAAAUAAACUACGAACGAAAAAUAGAUAAACAGCUUCUAAAAGAAAUGUCAUAAUUGAUGCUCUUUGUAGCCAAGGCCACGAGACCCUAACUAAAAUACCUCACCCGAUGUUGCUUAGCCUAAAGUUGGCCUAGCUCUUGAAUUUCACCUUUAGAAUGCUCAAAUUUAUUUAUCCAUUACAUUAAUGUCUUUCUAUUGUUUUAAUAUUUUUCUACCUUACUCUCUCUAUAUAUCUAUCUAUCUAUCGCUCUCUAUAUAUAUUAUAAUGUCCAAUUUAUAAGCGCCAUAUACUAUAAUUAAUUUGUAUAUGAUUAGAGAAGAGAGUGUGUUGGAUAAUAAAUUCUAGAUUAAGCAAAUUUAUAGUUACUUUAAAAAAAUCAUGAUUUUAAAAUUAAUUAAAAUUUUGUCACUCUUUUAUGCGAAAGUAAUUUUAAAUCAGAACAGAUCUAAAGGAUCGAAAGAGUGCUCAUUUGAAUUUCCUCAAAAAAAAAAUUAUAUAAUAUAAAUAGAAUAGAUUUUACGUAUACAUAUAAAUAAAUUGCUAAAAUAACAUGCAAAAGAUUAAAUUAGUUAUCCAGGACAUUCAAAAUUCACCCCAAUAUUCAGAGUCAAUACUCGGGGAAUGUAUUUUUUUUUUUUUACAUUAUUAUUUACUAUAGUAAGAGUUGAAAUCAGAAUUAUGGGUCUUGUUUGAGAUUCAACUUUUUCUUUCCUUGAAAUUCCAACACAAUACUGAAAUUUAACUUAAAAAACAUAGUUCAAACUCUGGGUUAAAUGAGGAGACCCACAUACUAUACUGAAAUUGGCUUAAUAAAAUAGAAAAACUUAUUGAAAAAGUGCUGGAAAAAUUAUUUUAAAAGCUUUUACAUGCAAGAGGUUUCCUUUUCCUGUGCUGCGAGUCUAUCAGAAACAGUCUCUCUACUUCUUUGGGGUAGUGGUAUGAAUUGUGUAUAUUCUACCCUCUCCAAAUCCCACGAUAUGGGAAUAUACUGGAUUUGUUGUUGUUACAUGCAAGAGGUUCAAAAUCUACCACAAUAUGUUGAAGUAUCUAAAAAGAAAUAUUGAUUAAUUAAUUCAUAUCUCGACAGAAUUACUUGAAAUGACAGUUCAUUAAAAAGAAUCAACGCUAAGGUCGGCUAGAACAUUUUUAUUUAUCAUCUGUUAAUUAAAAUGGUGUACAUUUGGUACAAUUUUAAAGGGAUCAAAAUGAAGGAUAAAACAAACAAAUUAAAAUGAGAAAGUAUCUUUUUGUAUUUUAACUAAGGUAAUUUAUUUUCAACUUUUUUCUUCAUAUUAGAAAAAGUCAUUUUUUUAAUUAUUUCAUAAACCACGGCUAUCAUGCAAAUGAUAAAAGCCUAAAAAAUGACUAAUCAACACCAUUUUUAUGAAUGAUGAUUAGUAAAUAUCUUUUAAAAUUCUUAAUCACACUACAUAUUCGAUUGGAGUUUCGAAAAUAAAUAUUUUAUACAACUCCAAAUAAAUAAAAUCUUGAAAAAGAAGUUUUAGUAUAUGAUGACGAUGGAAAAAGAGAGAAGAGAAUAGUUGUCUAUUACGUGACGUAAGGGGGAUUGCAAAUAGAGGUUUGGCAGAAUGUGAACCGUUUUUGUUGUUUCAUUUUCUUUUUCUCAGUAUUUUGUGGCCUCCCUUAUAUGUAUGUUGUUAGUUUGUAAUGAUGAUUUUCUGGCCCUUUGCAAAAAAAAAAUUUCUUUUUGUGCUUUCAUGCCAUGUUUUACUUCUUUUUUGAAAAAGGAAACCAUUCGAAUCAAGUAUUUGUACACUUUUCUUUCGUCAUCUUAUAACUUUUCUUAUUCUUUUAUUUUUAUUUUUCAUCCGGUUUUUUUAAAAAGUUAUUUCUACUAUUUUGUUUUUUCUAUUAUUUGUUUUACAUAACUUUAUUUGAAUUAGAGUUUUUUUUAUAAUGAUUGUGAUUUCGGAUUAGUUUUUAUGCACAAAUCUGUGUCACUUUCCACCAAAAACAGACAUCGAUAUCAUGCAUCGUUGUACAUCAAGAGUAGGACAGAUGAGAAGAAUCACCUAACGUUUUUCUCUACAUAAACCUGAGACUCUCAAUACACUUCAUUGACUACUUAACCCCAUAUUUGGAUGCAAUUAACGUCUUUUGAAAAUAGCUUUUCUAAUUUUAAAAAAUAAAAAUAAUAUUUGUGUACACAUCAUUUUUUUUAUUUCAUUUUAUUUUAUUUUUCAUCCUAUUCGGUAUCCACAUUGUAGCCCGAAUAAUCUGAAUUCCUACCGUGUAGGGCCCAUUCGGAGGAAACGCUCCCUACAAAGAAUUAUUUCAUACCCAGGACACGAACCUCAGACCUUUAAUUAAACGGGGAGCAGUUUCAUCCGCUGCACCACAUAUUUUGGUGAUUUUCUAGACUUCAUUUAUACAUUAUUGUCUAAUCUUCUUCAUCUAACUCCAAUGUAAAAUUGAGUUCUCUACUUUCUAAAACAAAAAGGUUCAAUAUUUGAAAUGAUUCUAACUUGCGCUUCUAUCACGUAUUGAAUUUUAAUUUUGUUCUUAUUGUUAAUUUUUGAGUUAAAAAUAUUUCUUCUUUCACCUAUAAAAUUGCAAAUGCGCUGUAUGUUAAUUUUCAAGUUAUCAAUGUCGUCUUUAAUGAAAUUAUAAAAUGGCACAUACAAAUCUUUAAUUAUGAUUUAUUUAUCUACUUAACUCCAAUUACAAAUAAUAUAACUUAUUGGGGUUAACCCACACAACUCUAUAUAAAUCGUUUGCUUGUAUUUAGUUCCCUCGAUGCUUCAAGCAUUGCGACUUAAUGAUUCAAAAGACAACAAUAUCUUCUUUGUUUGAAAAAGUUAAUUUUUUGUUCAAAAUUGAUGCAAAUAAGCUCCAAUUUAUUCUAGAUCUAAGUUUAAAAUCAACUUCUUCAUGAUCAUCCCUACCAAUGAUAUGGGUCUAAUAAUAUUCACGUAUGGAAAUCAUGCCCACAAGUCCCAACAUUCCCAUGUCAUCUCCAAUUGUGUAUUCCUCCUCAUAUAUAUUAGUUUCAUUGAAAUAAAAUGGUAAACCACUUCAAACUCAUAGUUGGUCUAGGCCCAACACUGGGCCAACUCUGCUAGGGGGUUGGCCUUUUUAAUUAGGCUUAUUUCACUUCUUUCUUUUUCUCGUAUUGCUAAUUGGAUCUCCCAUCCAAAAAAUGGAAAGUUCCAACAUUCUUCAAUCCAUAGCAACCAAAUAAAAAGUUGAUACCUCACGUCUUAUACAGAAAAUAGAUUAAUAUGCAUAUAAAAUAUUUCAAAAAGUAUCCAACUAAACAAAAAUAUAAUUUUUUUCACAAUCUAGUAAAUUAUGCUAAUAGUCACACACACGCACGCACUCACACAUAUACAUAAAAAUUAAUUGGCCGAUAAAGUACCUAAAAAUCAACGGAAAAAAUGGAUAACUUACAUAAAUCUCAAAUUUUUAAUGGGUUCUAACACUUUUUUCAUAACUUUGUUUAAUUAAAUGAUAUCCCGGAUUUUUAUAUUUAUGAUACAUAUCUUUAGCCUUGAUACAUAUGUUUUGUGAUACAUUUGUAAUUGAAUGGUUAGUUAAAUAAGGAAGUAACUAAUUUUCAAUUAUUACAUGAAGUAAAAUUAAACGCAAAUCGUGGUAUAAAUACAUCUGAUUUCAGUUGUAUCAUAAUGAUACAUUUGAUAAAAUUACUCAAUACCCUUUAAAAAUGCAAUCUCACACAAAAAUAAAUAGUUUACAUAUGGCAAACAUAUGUUAAAUGUAUCAAACAUUUAUAAAUAAAUAAAAAAUAUGAAUCACUAUUACAAAUAAUUUGUCAUAUGUAUCACCAGUAUUCCAACAAUAAAUGUAUCAUAUUGGUAAUGUAUAUAUUUUUUAUAACUGAUUAACAACAUUAAUACAUAUUUCUGUAUACUAUUAUAUCACAGUUACUCAUGUUGUUUCUCACGGGAUAAAAUAUAUCAAUGAUGCACGUAUAAAAUGUAUGAUCAUAUGUAUAAGUUGAAAAAUAUUCAAACUGAAUGAGGGUGGUGAAAUCAUUAAAUGACCAAAAAAUAUAUGCAUCAUCCUUAAAAUUAUAAAAGGGCACACAAGUUCUUAAUAUGUAUCUAUAUAUGUAUUAAAUACAUUUAUUUGAUACAUAUGAUUACUAUAUAUAUAUGUGUGUGUGUGUGUGUAUGUAUGUAUCUAUAUAUAUAUUUUUUGUAUAUAUAUAUAUAUAUAUAUAUAUAUAUAUAUGUAUGUAUGUAUGUAUAUGUCUUGAUACUUAUGAUUGAUACAUAUAAUCCACUAUCACUACCCUCUCCGUCGUUCAUCCACACCAUCACUGCCACCUUGGCUCCCCCAUCCCCUCAAUCGUUCUUCCGCACCAUCACUGCCACCUUGGCUGCCCCACCCCCUCUGUGGAUCGUUCGCACCCUCACUGCCACCUUGGCUACCCCAUCCCCUUCGUUGUUCAUCCGCACUAUCACUGCCACCUUGGCUACCCCACCCCCUCUAUCGUUCAUUCGCACCAUCACUGCCACUUUGGCUAUCCCACCCCCUCCGUUGUUCGUCUGCACCAUCACUGUCAUCUUAGCUACCCCACCCCUUCCGUCGUUCGUCCUCACCACCACCGCUACUUUGAUCGUUCUCGUCUGAAAUCUAACAACUGAUUGUUUAAUUUCUCUUAUUUUCAUUAAUAGGUAUUGACUUAAAAGUUGAUAAAAAGAUACAAAAAAAAGACAAUGAAAUUGAUGAAAAAGUUGCAGUAAUGGAGAUGAAAGUUAUCUCAAUUGAUGAUAAUUUGAGAGAGAUUUUAGGGGAUGAAAUUUUGGGAAAACAAAAUGGAUUGCAUGCGUUAAUUGUAGAGAAAAAGUAAGAUGGUUUUUUUGUUCAUAUGUAUCAAACAUAAAUAUUAAAUUUGAGAUUUUAAGUAAUUGUUUAAAAGGUAAGAGAUUUUUUGGUAAUAAAAUCUCUUAGGUUUAUGAUUUUGUCUAAUUUUUUCAUGUCUAAAUUUGGAAAAACAAGCCUCCAUGUAUUUGGGUUAUGAACCAAGUCCAGUCCCAUUGUUGUUGGGCCGCAAGCUUAUUUUUGACUGAUUUGACACUUUCAUCAAAGGAUAAAUUACACAAAUUCCAUACUUAAGAGACUAUAUUACCUAAUAUCCCUUAAUUUUUAAAAAUUUACAUAAAAUCUCAAUUUUCUACUUUACUUUUGAUACAUAUCAACAAAACCCCACAUCCUAUUUUUACUCUACCAUUAACUCAUUCAAGCUAUUUUUUUUUCAAAGAUUUCCUUUCCUAAAAUAUCUCUUAAUUAUCAACAAUUAAAUCAUCUUCCUACCUGAUUUUUUCUCCUCUAUUAACGCUUAAAUCAUCUCUCUUUCUGAUUUUUUUUCUCCUGCAUUAACGCAUGCAACUUUUUUUUCCUCUCCUAAAAUCUCUCCCAUUUUUUUUUUUUAAAUCUAUUGAUACAUAUAUAAAUUUAUUUAGCUAUUCAUACAUGUUUAUUCUUUUAAUAGUGAUUCAUACGAAUGAUAAAUAUGAUAUCAUUAUAUGGGUAUUAUGGUGAUUCAUAUGAUAGAUACAUUUUGUAUGAUUUUAAUGGGUGAUACGUAUUGUAUUAGGGUGAUUCAUAUGGUAGAUACAAUUAUUUAUUUCAAUUAUUGGGUGAUUCAUAUGAUAUUAAUGGGUGAUAUAUAUGGUAUUUUGGUGAUUCAUAUGGUGCAUACAAUUAUUUAUUUCAAUUAUCGGGUGAUUCAUAUAUAUGGUAUUAUGGUGAUUCAUAUGGUAGAUACAUUUUGUAUGAUUUUAACAGGUGAUACAUAUAAUAUUAAUGGGUGAUACGUAUUAUAUUAUGGUGAUUCAUAUGGUAGAUACAAUUAUUUAUUCAAAUUAUUGAAUAAUUCAUAUGAUAUUAAUGGGUGAUAUAUAUGGUAUUAUGGUGAUUCAUAUGGUAGAUACAAUUAUUUAUUCAAAUUAUUGAAUAAUUCAUAUGAUAUUAAUGGGUGAUAUAUAUGGUAUUAUGGUGAUUCAUAUGGUAGAUACAAUUAUUUAUUCAAAUUAUUGAAUAAUUCAUAUGAUAUUAAUGGGUGAUAUAUAUGGUAUUAUGGUGAUUCAUAUGGUAGAUACAAUUAUUUAUUUCAAUUAUUGGGUGAUUCAUAUGUUAUUAAUGAAAGGUAACGGCAUAGUCAGUGUAGGAAACAAAAGUAAUAAUUAAAUCUAAAAAAAAAAACUAAAAUUAAAGACGAAAAAAGAGUAUCUUUCAUAAUUAAAAACAAAAAAAGAGAAAUAUAAUUAAAACACCUAAAUUAAAUCUAAAAAUAAAAGAGAAAAAAUAGAUAUAUUUUCUUAAAUAAAAUAAUACAAUGAAUAAAAGAGAAUCUAUUAUUUCCUUAAAAAAGAGGAACAUAAUUAAAACACCUAAAUUAAAUCCCAAGAAAGAGAAAAAUUAGAUAUCUUUCCUUAAAUAAAAGAAUACAAUGAAUAAAAUAGAAUCUAUUAUUUUCUUAAAUAAAUAUCUUUGUCAGUUUCAAAUAUAUCAAUUUUGUAUAUAUAUAUCACCUUAUAACAUAUGUAUCACCAUUUCAAAAAUUGGGAUAAAAUGUAAUUAAUAAAAUAGUCAGAAUUUUAUGUAAUAUAACUUAAAGAUUCAGGGAUUUAUGUAAGUUACCCUUCAUCAAAUUAUAAGGGCGUUUUGGUCCUAAAUUGUCAAAAAGUUGCACGUAGUGUCCCCCUAAGUAUUUGGUUUUAUAUUUUUGUUUUUCAAAUGUCCGAUCUUAAAUUUGUAUUCUUCAAAGGAUGUGGUUUUGAAUUUUAGUCCCCGUUAAAUAAGUUCUAACGUUUGCGUGUUACUCAGGACUUGUGGUCAAUUAAGUAGAUUCACUGUCUUGAACGUCUGUCUUAUGAGGCAAAAGUUAGAACGUCUACUUUAAGGGCAGAACAUUUAAGUUCUACUUUUGCCUAUAAGGCAGAAAUUUUGGUCAAUUGUGCAGGUUUAUUUUCUUGAAAUGUCACGAACGUCUCCCUUGUAGGCAAGAGUUAGAACGUCUGUUUUAUGUGCAAGAGUUAUUGAAAGGGGCCAAAAUAAUCAAGACCACCCCUUAUGGAGAUCAUUUUUAUAAGAUUUUUUUAUGAAAGAUAAAAUAUGAGGACCAUCCUAUUUUAAAGUCAUUUUUGAACUUAAUCCCAAAAUUGUUGGUAAUAGACAAAUGGUAUAUAAAUUCAUCAAAAACAUAAUUUGAAGGUGACUUUUGAUCGAUGGAGCUUUGAGAGAGCAGGCUAAGGCCUCAAGUGUCCAACACCCAACAUUAAAAUAUUGAAAUAAAAUUACGAUAGGAAGAGCAGGG